GGUUUCGUGGUGUAGUUGGUUAUCACGUUAGUCUAACACACUGAAGGUUUCCGGUUCAAGUCCGGGUGAAGCCA
rfam:Ipomoea nil DNA, scaffold: scaffold1570, cultivar: Tokyo-kokei standard.